GACGAACGCUGGCGGCGUGCUUAACACAUGCAAGUCGAACGGAAAGGCCCUGCUUUUGUGGGGUGCUCGAGUGGCGAACGGGUGAGUAACACGUGAGUAACCUGCCCUUGACUUUGGGAUAACUUCAGGAAACUGGGGCUAAUACCGGAUAGGAGCUCCUGCUGCAUGGUGGGGGUUGGAAAGUUUCGGCGGUUGGGGAUGGACUCGCGGCUUAUCAGCUUGUUGGUGGGGUAGUGGGUUACCAAGGCGAUGACGCGUAGCCGACAUGAGAGGGUGACAGGCCACAUUGGGACGGAGACAAGGCCCAAACUACUACGGGAGGCAGCAGUAGGGAAUCGUCGGCAAUGGACGAAAGUCUGAACGAGACAGGCCGCGGGAGUGAAGAAGGUUUUCGGAUCGUAAAACUCUGUUGGUAGAGAAGAACGUUGGUGAGAGUGGAAAGCUCAGCAAGUGACGGUAACUACAAAGAAAGGGACGGCUAACUACGUG
rnacentral:rRNA from 1 species